AACGAACGCUGGCGGCAGGCCUAACACAUGCAAGUCGAGCGGACCCUUCGGGGUUAGCGGCGGACGGGUGAGUAACGCGUGGGAAUAUGCCCUUCUCUACGGAAUAGUCCUGGGAAACUGGGGGUAAUACCGUAUACGCCCUUUGGGGGAAAGAUUUAUCGGGGAAGGAUUAGCCCGCGUUGGAUUAGGUAGUUGGUGGGGUAAUGGCCUACCAAGCCGACGAUCCAUAGCUGGUUUGAGAGGAUGAUCAGCCACACUGGGACUGAGACACGGCCCAGACUCCUACGGGAGGCAGCAGUGGGGAAUCAUAGACAAUGGGGGCAACCCUGAUCUAGCCAUGCCGCGUGAGUGAUGAAGGCCUUAGGGUUGUAAAGCUCUUUGAGCUGGGAAGAUAAUGACGGUACCAGCAGAAGAAGCCCCGGCUAACUCCGUG
rnacentral:rRNA from 1 species